GAGAUUGAUCUCCUGAGGCAGCCUGUGUGGUAGUGAACUGCACACUGGAACAGAUGCCGACUGUAGAAGGGGCUUUACUAGUUAUUAUAAUGGGGGCAGGGUUUGAAAAUUUGUUGGGGCUCAGUGUACUAUAUAACGAUUGCUUCGUUGUCUCCAAAGACUCCAGAAACCAAGAAGCUUCUAAUCUAAGAGGGGAUUAGUGAACUCACUUCAUUAACUUUCUGCAAAUGUUGCCUUUCCCCCUCACCCCCACUCUUUUGGUUUCUUGAUGGUGUGCUUACUGAAGAUGUGUCAAUGGGUUGCAAUUUGCUGCCUGGAAUGUCGUCUGCUAACUGUACACCAUGGAGAUGGCAUAAACGGAAUCCUCCCCUCCUUCGGAAGCCUCAAUGGUCUUUGUACUGCUGCAUAGCUCUUCCCCUACGAUAUUUUGAAUGGCUAAACAUAAUGCUUUGUUGAAUUGGCCAGUGAGUUUCACAGAGCACCACUGUCUACAGACUCUGGUGUCACGCCAUCUGGUUUUAAGUUGUCCUGGAGAUGGAUAAUGUCAGGAGAAAGAUUAAGGGCUAUGAGCAAGCCAGGAAGUUCAGCUCAGAGAAUGAUCCCAGAAGACCAGGAAUCACAUCUUGAAAAUGAUUACGUCACAUAGUGCAUCACAUUUGGCUGUGAGAUGACAUCACUGAAGUCAAAGUUGUGUGGACGGGGUCACAUGGGGCGAUCACAACCAAUCAGAUUAUCCGUAGUCCUCACUUUGCCUGGGUAAAUCCUUUCUCUCUCUUUUGAUGCAGCCUUUGAAAAAACGAUUAAAGGAUGUGUGCCUUUUUAUGCCACUGAAAACAUUUACAGGAAGUGACCUCUUUUGAAUUAGGCAUACAAUUUACAUUGCACUGGGCACGCAGCACAAUUUGCUCAAAUACACCUAUAAAUUGAAACAGGUAUCACUCUUGCAUUUGACAGUGUGUGACAUAAUACUUUCCUUCCUGAGUGGGGAACAUUAAUUUUACCAUUUUCUGAUGCAGACAGAGUUUUCCAACAGCCGAUAAAAUUUACCACCACUUUGUAUUGUUUUAUUGUUUCCGGUGCUAAAGUGGCAAAGCGCAAAAUUACGCUCGUAAAAAUUGGCUACCAUGUUUCAAAUAUCCUGCAAUUUUAUGGGAAUGUAAAUCUGCAGCGAAGUAGAGAUACCGUAGGUAAUGGUAUAUGAGAAAUGUAGGUUUUGUUUUCUUUUGUUUUGGUUUUUUUCUUUAUUUAAAAAAAAAAGCAGCCCAGAAGGCUCAGUUUAAGUCUCCGGUAAUUGCCAUAUUGGCAAAGCAAUUCCUGUAAGGUAAUGAAACCAGGGUUAAUUUCAACCAGUAAGCGUCUCCUGUUAGAAACUGUUUUCUGUGUUAUGAAUCGAAUUCAUUAAAAUUUAGCCUUUAAAAGCUGGUUGGAGGUGGGGACGGACGACAAAUUGCCCAGGAACAAAGCUUGAUUUACUUGGAAUAAUUAGCGGGCUUUGAGAUGUCUAGUUUGAAAUUAUUGGCAACCUCCAUUAAAUCGAGCUGGCUUUCAGCCUGAACUGCAAAAGCUCCUCUAGGGCCUAUAUCACAUGUUGUGUACAAACACUUGCAAAGGUAGCCCAAUGGUCCAUUUCAAAACAAGGAAAAAGCCACUUCCAAGUGGAGCCAAUUGGGUGGCGGCAGACUUAACCCAUUCCUUACUCACUAUUUCUUCCACUUUAAAUAACCCUACAAAU